rnacentral:rRNA from 1 species
UACAGAGGGUGCAAGCGUUGUUCGGAAUUAUUGGGCGUAAAGCGCGUGUAGGCGGCUUUGCAAGUCGGGUGUGAAAGCCCUCAGCUCAACUGAGGAAGUGCGCCCGAAACUGCAGAGCUUGAGUGCCGGAGAGGGUGGCGGAAUUCCCGGUGUAGUGGUGGAAUGCGUAGAUAUCGGGAGGAACACCAGUGGCGAAGGCGGCUACCUGGACCGGUUCUGACACUGAGGAGCGAAAGCGUGGGGAGCGAUCCGG